CCUACGGGUGGCAGCAGUAGGGAAUCUUUCACAAUGGGCGAAAGCCUGAUGGAGCAAAGCCGCGUGCAGGAUGAAGGCCUUCGGGUUGUAAACUGCUUUUAUAAGCGAGAAAUAUGAUGGUAACUUACGAAUAAGGAUCGGCUAACUACGUGCCAGCAGCCGCGGUAAUACGUAGGGAGCGAGCGUCACCCAGAAUUAUGGGGCGUAAAGGGUGCGUAGAUGGCAUAGUAAGUCUUUUGUAAAAAUGUUGGGAUAAACCCAGUAGGGCAAAAGAUACUGCAAAGCUAGAGUAUGACAGAGGCAAGUGGAACUACGUGUGUAGCGGUAAAAUGCGUAGAUAUCAGUAAGAACACCAGUGGCGAAGGCGGCUUGCUGGAUCGAUACUGACAUUGAGGCACGAAAGCGUGGGGAGCAAACAGGAUUAGAUACCCGAGUAGUC
rnacentral:rRNA from 1 species